rnacentral:rRNA from 1 species
GAUGAACGCUGGCGGCGUGCCUAAUACAUGCAAGUCGAGCGAACAGAUGAGGAGCUUGCUCCUCUGACGUUAGCGGCGGACGGGUGAGUAACACGUGGAUAACCUACCUAUAAGACUGGGAUAACUUCGGGAAACCGGAGCUAAUACCGGAUAAUAUAUUGAACCGCAUGGUUCAAUAGUGAAAGACGGUUUUGCUGUCACUUAUAGAUGGAUCCGCGCCGCAUUAGCUAGUUGGUAAGGUAACGGCUUACCAAGGCAACGAUGCGUAGCCGACCUGAGAGGGUGAUCGGCCACACUGGAACUGAGACACGGUCCAGACUCCUACGGGAGGCAGCAGUAGGGAAUCUUCCGCAGUGGGCGAAAGCCUGACGGAGCAACGCCGCGUGAGUGAUGAAGGUCUUCGGAUCGUAAAACUCUGUUAUUAGGGAAGAACAAAUGUGUAAGUAACUAUGCACGUCUUGACGGUACCUAAUCAGAAAGCCACGGCUAACUACGUG